GACGAACGCUGGCGGCGUGCCUAAUACAUGCAAGUAGAGCGCUGAAGGUUGGUACUUGUACCGACUGGAUGAGCAGCGAACGGGUGAGUAACGCGUGGGGAAUCUGCCUUUGAGCGGGGGACAACAUUUGGAAACGAAUGCUAAUACCGCAUAAAAACUUUAAACACAAGUUUUAAGUUUGAAAGAUGCAAUUGCAUCACUCAAAGAUGAUCCCGCGUUGUAUUAGCUAGUUGGUGAGGUAAAGGCUCACCAAGGCGAUGAUACAUAGCCGACCUGAGAGGGUGAUCGGCCACAUUGGGACUGAGACACGGCCCAAACUCCUACGGGAGGCAGCAGUAGGGAAUCUUCGGCAAUGGACGAAAGUCUGACCGAGCAACGCCGCGUGAGUGAAGAAGGUUCUCGGAUCGUAAAACUCUGUUGGUAGAGAAGAACGUUGGUGAGAGUGGAAAGCUCAUCAAGUGACGGUAACUACCCAGAAAGGGACGGCUAACUACGUG
rnacentral:rRNA from 1 species